rnacentral:rRNA from 1 species
CCUACGGGAGGCAGCAGUGAGGAAUAUUGGUCAAUGGUCGGGAGACUGAACCAGCCAAGCCGCGUGAGGGAGGAAGGUACAGCGUAUCAUAAACCUCUUUUGUCAGGGAACAAAGGCGGGGACGUGUCCCCGGAUGAGUGUACCUGAAGAAAAAGCAUCGGCUAACUCCGUGCCAGCAGCCGCGGUAAUACGGAGGAUGCGAGCGUUAUCCGGAUUUAUUGGGUUUAAAGGGUGCGUAGGGGGUUUGUUAAGUCAGCGGUCAAAGCCCGGGGCUCAACCCCGGCCCUCCGUUGAAACUGGCAGUCUCGAGUUGGAGAGAAGUAUGCGGAAUUCGCGGUGUAGCGGUGAAAUGCAU